AACACCGUCUAGCGGUAACAACGCCAACUGGCUAGAUUACAAAGGGGCUCACUACCUCCCAACAAGCAACCCACUCACCCUAAGGGUCGAAAAGGAAAAGCUAUCCCUAAUCAGUCUAACACGCUCCCAGCAGACCGCCUCCUCAGCGAUAAAGCGUAGAAUGUGGAUGUGAGAAGACGAGGCUCCAUUGAAGACCACGUCAUUCCGAUGCUUCCAGAUGGACCAGAACACCAGUGCCGUCGCAGUCCGGAAGUCCCGUCGAGCGCCCUACGGAACAGCAGCCGUGGCCCACCACUUUCGGAUGUCGGAAUCACCCUCCGG
rnacentral:lncRNA from 1 species